rnacentral:rRNA from 1 species
AGAAGGUGUAGCAAUACACUUGUAAAGCGGCGAACGGGUGAGGAAUACAUGGGUAACCUACCCUCGAGUGGGGAAUAACUAGCCGAAAGGUUAGCUAAUAUCGCAUACGUUUCCGGGACUUCGGUACCGGAAAGAAAGCAGUACCGUGGGUACUGCGCUCAUGGAUGGGCUCAUGUCCUAUCAGCUUGUUGGUGAGGUAACGGCUCACCAAGGCUUCGACGGGUAGCUGGUCUGAGAGGACGAUCAGCCACACUGGCACUGCGACACGGGCCAGACUCCUACGGGAGGCAGCAGUAAGGAAUAUUGCGCAAUGGACGAAAGUCUGACGCAGCGACGCCGCGUGGGGGAUGAAGGUCUUCGGAUUGUAAACCCCUUUCGGGAGGGAAGAUGGAGUGGGUAACCACUUGGACGAUACCUCCAGAAGCAGCCACGGCUAACUUCGUGCCAGCAGCCGCGGUAAUACGAAGGUGGCAAGCGUUGUUCGGAUUCACUGGGCGUACAGGGAGCGUAGGCGGUUGGGUAAGCCCUCCGUGAAAUCUCCGGGCCUAACCCGGAAAGUGCAGAGGGGACUGCUCAGCUAGAGGAUGGGAGAGGAGCGCGGAAUUCCCGGUGUAGCGGUGAAAUGCGUAGAGAUCGGGAGGAAGGCCGGUGGCGAAGGCGGCGCUCUGGAACAUUUCUGACGCUGAGGCUCGAAAGCGUGGGGAGCAAACAGGAUUAGAUACCCUGGUAGUCCACGCCUUAAACUAUGGAUACUAAGUGUCGGCGGGUUACCGCCGGUGCCGCAGCUAACGCAUUAAGUAU